AGGAGCGGCAUAUUUUGGCUGUGGUGAUUUCACACUCUCACUGUAUUCAGCACCCGCUGACAAAGUCAAAAUCAGAAAACAAUGGUACCACGUCGCUGUUGGUAGUUCAAACGAUAGACAGACACUCUAUGUUGAUGGUGAGUUAAGGGAGACGAACAUGUCUACACCAGUGAGAAAUUGUAAAAAUAUAACGUUUAAACCUUCGCCGAAGUUGCCAGAACUGAGAGUAGUCUCCCUGCACUUAAUACCACAGUUGCUUGAUGAAAAGUAAAUUAGAGAACUUACUUCUUCGUGUAGUGCACUUGCACAUGGGUAUGGUGUUGUUAAAGGAUUGGUUGAAAGGAAUCUUUCGACGUUUCCCAUGUCUUGCUAUGUUUCUAGUAGUUGUACGAACACAACAUGUAACGGACACGGCAGCUGUGUCAGUAUUAGGAAUGGCCACAAGUGUCGGUGUUGGGACUUAUGGUCAGG